GAUGGAGGGGGAUAACUACUGGAAACGGUAGCUAAUACCGCAUAACGUCGCAAGACCAAAGAGGGGGACCUUCGGGCCUCUUGCCAUCGGAUGUGCCAGAUGGGAUUAGCUAGUAGGUGGGGUAACGGCUCACCUAGGCGACGAUCCCUAGCUGGUCUGAGAGGAUGACCAGCCACACUGGAACUGAGACACGGUCCAGACUCCUACGGGAGGCAGCAGUGG
rnacentral:rRNA from 1 species